GCCUGGGUGGCUCAGUUGGUUAAGCGUCCGACUUCAGCUCAGGUCACGAUCUCGCGGUCCGUGGGUUCGAGCCCCGCGUCGGGCU
rnacentral:tRNA from 1 species